AUCGCUUCUCGGCCUUUUGGCUAAGAUCAAGUGUAGUAUCUGUUCUUAUCAGUUUAAUAUCUGAUGCGCCCCCUAUCUGGGGGCCAUAUAUUAAAUGGAUUUUUAGAACAGGGAGAUGGAAGAAGAGCUUGCUCUGUCCACUCCACGCAUUGACCUGGUAUUGCAGUACCUCCAGGACCGUGCACAAAAA
rnacentral:snRNA from 1 species